AGGGGUGAAAGGCCAAUCAAACUCCGUGAUAGCUGGUUCUCCCCGAAAUGCAUUUAGGUGCAGCGUUGGAGUUAAUUUGUAUAGGAGGUAGAGCUACCGAUAGGGCUAGGGGGAGUCAAAUCCUACCAACCCCUGACGAACUCCGAAUGCCUAUACAAAGAACCAGCAGUGAGGCUAUGGGUGCUAAGGUCCAUGGCCAAGAGGGAAAAAACCCAGACCACCAGCUAAGGUCCCCAAGUAUAUAUUAAGUUGAAAGAACGAGGUGGAGUUGCUAUGACAGCUAGGAUGUUGGCUUGGAAGCAGCCAUUCAUUUAAAGAGUGCGUAACAGCUCACUAGUCGAGUGACUCUGCGCGGAAAAUACUCGGGCAUCAAAUAUAUCACCGAAGCUGUGGAUCAGAAAUGAUGGUAGGGGAGCAUUCUAAUGGCGGAGAAGCUGUGCUGUGAGGCAUGGUGGAGCGAUUAGAAAAGAAAAUGUAGGCAUGAGUAACGAUAAAACAGGUGAAAGUCCUGUUCACCGAAAGACCAAGGAUUCCAAUUCUAUGCAAGACAGAGUUGGGUUAGUCGGGACCUAAGGCAAAGCCGAGAGGCGGCGUCGAUGGCAAGCUGGUUAAUAUUCCAGCACUGGCUAUAACUGCGAAGCAGGGACGGAGGAGACGGUUGACUGCGAGCUGAUGGAAUAGCUCGUUGAAGAGAGGACGUAGGCCGUGUAGUGAAGUACGCACGGUACAGGAAUCUCGAUAGUACUAGAAACUCUUUGGAGUAGAUAGAUAAUGUCAUUAGUCACACUUCCAAGAAAAGCUGCUAAGCAUCAGGUUAUAGGCACCCGUACCGUAAACCGACACAGGUGGUUGAGGAGAGUAUCCUAAGGUGCACGAGAGAAUCAUGGCUAAGGAACUAGGCAAAAUGGGCGCGUAACUUCGGGAGAAGCGUCGCCCCGAUGUAAGAAUCGGGGCCGCAGUGAAGAGGCCCAGGCGACUGUUUAGCAAAAACACAGGACUCUGCGAAGCUGAAAGGCAAAGUAUAGGGUCUGACACCUGCCCGGUGCCGGAAGGUUAAGGAAGGGGGUUAGCACUUCGGUGCGAAGCUCUUAACUGAAGCCCCGGUAAACGGCGGCCGUAACAAUAA
rnacentral:rRNA from 1 species